UUUCCAAUUAAUCUGUUUGGCCACUGUGUUUGAGAAAAUCCUUGAAAGUAUAUUCCAAGUUACUCUUUUGGAGUUCUGUCCUCCUACAGCACCUACCCAGAUAGCAAAAAAUAUCCGCAUGGCUUCUUUUUGCCGCCGCGUCCUGCUGGCGGGGAUGAAACGUUUGCCGCCGAAUACGUCACUCCCAUUUCUUGCAAGAUGCCGCCAGGAAACAGCCGGCGGUCCGACUGCUUCAUUUUCUUUGGCGGUUGCCUCGGUCUAAAGGACCGCUGUCGUCCGGCGGCAAGACACUUUUAAAUACAAGGCUACUCUCAAAAUCGACCGGCCAAUGGUUUUGCAUGUUGGGAGUUAAGUGGAACUGACGGCAUUUUUACUACUUUUCACAUUUGAAGCGAUUAUAAAAUCCUAAUAUUUAAUAUGUGAAUUAUAUCAAAUAGUUUUUUUUCUCCAAAGCAUAGGGUUUAUUACAGAUUAUAACAGAUUAAUAGGGUUUAUAACAUGAUUCCAUGAGAGGUAAGGUUUAGGAAAUUACAUUUAAAUGACUUUGAAACUCUGAAGCGAUUAUACAGUAAUAUAUGUAAAAUAUAUCGAAUUAUUUUAUGCACUUAGGGGGAAAUUGUUUACAUUUAUUUGAUUUAGGCACAAUUAUGCUCCUGGAUCCGUCUCUACUGUUGAUGACGCAUUGGAGUCACUGAGGCUGGCCCCUCCCGUAACAAUAAAACUAGAGUACAUUCGCUUCAGUUCGAUCAAUCGUGAGUUACUACAGCCUUCAGUUGUAAGUUAGCAAAUUCAUCGACAUCGACUACCAGCGUUUAAAACCAGGUUUCUCCCCAGGACACACUCCACUUCACAGAGCCAAGCGUUUGAGUACGACAGAAAAUUUACCCUUGCAGCAAAUGGAUGAAAAGGCUGGAGGAGAAAGUCAUCGCUCCGUUAUUGGCCCUUGGAUUCCCCUGGCAUCGCAUGUACAGCAUGAAGUUUUCAGCAAUGAAGAUUUCCAGAACGAGAACCAAGCCGUGAGGGAGGAGAACCAAUCUCUGAGGGGAAGCCAUGCACGAGCAGCUUCGGAUGACAGCGGCUCGCUUCAAGAGCAGCUUCGGUUUUUGGCUAUCAAAUGUGGGAGGGACCUGAAGACAACAGUGUGGAGAAUGCUUCAGAGUAUAUUCUCUAAUAACCUUGCCGUUAAUACAACCUGGACAGGUAUAGGGGAUAAAACAUGUUUUAGAGACCUGUUCCUGAAGACCAUUGUUCAAAGGGCCCUCCGGAAGAACCCGGCAACCCAGGAUGACACUGAUGAGGCGGUCCAGGUUAACGUUACACGUUACCUGAAAGGAGCAUCAGACCGUGAAGGAGGAAAAAGCCGCACAGCUGAGAAGGACCCACAGCCGACCCCUUAAACCUAGGCUGACUACUGACACCCCAGCAUCACUGAACUGGAACACUUUCUUUAUCCUGCAGUCAGUAACAUCAAGAAGCCAGAAGUGCCAAACUACACUCACCAAAUCCACCCUGUUUUUUUUUGUAUUUUAACUUUAGUAUUGGCUUAUUCCAUUCCGUCUUAACGAUUCUAUUAUAGUUUGUAAAUCCUAUUUCAUACCUGUUACUUGAUAUUGCACAUUAACUAGUACCAACAUUCUACUUUCAUUUCAUCACUGUGCUUAACUGUUUUUCAUUCAAUACCUCUGAUACUUGAUAUUGCACAUUACCUGGUACCAAAUAUUCUACUUACUCUGUUUUUAACAUCAGCAUUUUUCAUUCCAUCACAGUGCUUAACUGUUAUUCUAUUGUUAAAUAUAGCUUGUAAAUCCUUGUGCCACAGGUCAGCAUUGCAGUUAUAAUGGUCUGUUCUACUACUGUUUUUACCUCUGUAUUUUUAUAUGUGUAUGUCAAGUUUUGUUUAUCACAGAUACAAGAGACACAUCUUAAUGCAGCAUGGUGUAAAUAUUGUGCGCCAGGUCAGCAAUGCCAUUAUAAUGGAAUAUUCUACUCUAGAGCUUUACUCAAUGGCUUGAAAAUGUGAUGUUCUACCUCGUUUUAUUUGGUAUCCUGCACAUUCUUUGGUACCAUAUCCUCAUUACUUAUGUUUACUGGUAAUUAUUUUCAUCCCAGAGCUGACCUCUAUAUUAUUAACAAUUAUUGUGUUUGUGUUAUAAUAUGCUUGUAUGGCUGUUCUUUUUUUUUUAACCAACAUUUUAUUGGAAACCUGCAUGUUCUGUAGUGUGUAUUUAUGUUUAUUUUUUUCUGCCUAUUAUUUAUUUCAGUGAUCUGACACAUCUUGUUUGAAUGACAGUUACUGUACUUUGAAAUGUGGAAUUAAAAC
ensembl:lncRNA